UACGUAGGGUGCGAGCGUUAAUCGGAAUACUGGGCGUAAAGCGUGCGCAGGCGGCGCGUUAAGACAGGUGUGAAAGCCCCGAGCUUAACUUGGGAAUUGCGCUUGUGACUGGCGUGCUGGAGUGUGGCAGAGGGAGGUGGAAUUCCACGUGUAGCAGUGAAAUGCGUAGAGAUGUGGAGGAACACCGAUGGCGAAGGCAGCCUCCUGGGCCAACACUGACGCUCAUGCACGAAAGCGUGGGAGCAAACAGG
rnacentral:rRNA from 1 species